UACGGAGGGUGCAAGCGUUAUCCGGAUUCACUGGGUUUAAAGGGUGCGUAGGCGGGCAGGUAAGUCCGUGGUGAAAUCUCUGAGCUUAACUCAGAAACUGCCAUGGAUACUAUUUGUCUUGAAUAUUGUGGAGGUAAGCGGAAUAUGUCAUGUAGCGGUGAAAUGCUUAGAUAUGACAUAGAACACCAAUUGCGAAGGCAGCUUACUGGACAGUAAUUGACGCUGAGGCACGAAAGCGUGGGGAUCAAACAGG
rnacentral:rRNA from 1 species